rnacentral:lncRNA from 1 species
CUGAUGGGAAGAAGUCCAGCUCCCAGGUGUAGCAACUUCCAAGGCAACAUUACCACAGACUGAACAAAUGAAUUUUUUCUUGAUAUUCUAUCAACCAAGUGGAAGUGAAAAAAUGCCGUAAAGGAAAUCCAAGCAGUUACAAGCUCAAGCAUACAUAGUAAAGUAUAAAUGUAAGUAACCACAACUGAGAAACAACUGCUUUCCUCAGAGCAUUCCCUGAUGAUGCUUUGGAGCCUGGAGAGGAUGAUGAUGUCAGCAGAAUACUACCAUUUUGUUCUUUUCAUCUUCAAAGGAUUUUAACUAACAAACCCAAAUGAGGCCCCCAUGAGACAGGAAGAGGACGUAGAAACCUUUGUAUACGGCCUGGACCAGUGUAAGGGGAUUGCAAGGCAGCAGCAGUGAAGCACACAGGCAACUUACAAGCAUAAAUGAAAGGUUGGAGUGUAGGAUUCUGCACUUGCCCCUGUUGAACCUCAUCAGGUUCCUCUCUGUCCAACUCUCUAGACUGUCCAGGUCUCACUGAAUGGCAGCACAGCCCUCUGGUGUGUCAGCCACUCCUCCCUGCUACACACUGUCAAGAAGCUUACUGAAUUCUGUUCCUUCAUUCAGGUCAGUGAUGAAGAUGUUGAAGUAGGUUUUAACCCUAGAAAACUGCUGUAAGGAAAAUAAAGGAUUUAAGUACACUAUAUUAUAAGGCAGUAGUUGGGGCUUUUGUUGUGUUUUUUUUUUUUUUUUUUAAUUUUCAUUUUUUCUUCUGUUUGUCUGCUUUGACACAUGGAUGACUUCAGUUCAACAGCAACAUACACUGUG